GACGAACGCUGGCGGCGUGCCUAAUACAUGCAAGUCGAACGCUUCUUUCCUCCCGAGUGCUUGCACUCAAUUGGAAAGAGGAGUGGCGGACGGGUGAGUAACACGUGGGUAACCUACCCAUCAGAGGGGGAUAACACUUGGAAACAGGUGCUAAUACCGCAUAACGGUUUAGCCCGCAUGCCUUAGGGUUAAAGGCCCCUUUGGGGGGCGGCUGAGGAUGGGCCCGGGGUGCAUUAGCUAGUUGGUGAGGUAACGGCCCACCAAGGCCACGAUGCAUAGCCGACCUGAGAGGGUGAUCGGCCACACUGGGACUGAGACACGGCCCAGACUCCUACGGGAGGCAGCAGUAGGGAAUCUUCGGCAAUGGACGAAAGUCUGACCGAGCAACGCCGCGUGAGUGAAGAAGGUUUUCGGAUCGUAAAACUCUGUUGUUAGAGAAGAACAAGGACGUUAGUAACUGAACGUCCCCUGACGGUAUCUAACCAGAAAGCCACGGCUAACUACGU
rnacentral:rRNA from 1 species